GGAGCUGUAGCUCAGUGGUAAAGCACUUGCCUCACAUGUAUGAGGCACUGGAUUCGAUCCUUAGCACCA
rnacentral:tRNA from 1 species